UCUUAGCCUGGCCCGGGCGCAGAGCAGGAAGUUCACACACGCGAGGAGAAGCCUCUCCAGAAGCAUUUGCACAGCUCUCCACCGUCCGGCCAAGAGCCGGGCCGCUGGGGUAGCCUGGCAGGGUCCCCGAAGCGAAAGUCAAACGGGCACCCAAAGAUACCUUGGGGAUCUUCCAAGCGGACAGAUGGACAGAGCCACCCGUGCACCGAGAUGCGGACAGAAUGCAGAGGUUGCCUGUGCUUGCACUCCCCCCCCCCCCCCAGGCCCUCUCUGACUCCAGUGAGAGCAGUGCGCUUGAGCUGCCAGUUAUGGGGGCCUGAGGAGGCUGAGCUGGCCUCUGCAGGAGACCACAGACUCUUCCCAAGGUGGACCCCAGCCAGGCAUUUUCUCUAAGACUUCUAAUCAGAGUGACCACAUUGACCACUGUGUUCUUGGAUGUCCAUCCUGCGCCAGAAGCCCAUAAUAUAUCACUUUAUAAUUGCUCCAGAUUUUUUUUUUUUUUUUUUGCCUUUUAGGGAUAGGUGUAAUGAAUUCAUUGUCAUGGCCCAUUUAAUAUAAUGGGGGGGAGGGGAGAGUUAAAAACACCCAUCAUUCAUCCCCCUAUUUUGUCACCCUAAGCUAAGCUCCAUUACUGGGAAGGGGAAGGAGCCAGCCUUCCCUGUCAUUUACCCUGACCAAAUCCCAACCUCUGUUCAAAGUCCACACCUCUGCUGCAUUUGCAAUUAUUCCCAAUUAAUUACAAAAAAGCUGAGCUCCCAAAGAUUAAGAGGAGUUCACCAAAGCCCAAGAUAGUGGGGAGCAGAGUUUGGAGUUUCUGACUCCAAAGCUCUACUCAUUCGUGCCUACUCGUGCCUACUACUCGUGCCUUAUUUGUAUUAAAAA